AUGGACGCCGAGAAGAGGUUGGGAGAGAGUGGAGGCCCUGGGAAGAAGAUGAUGCCAUUGCCCAUCAGCAGGACGGUGGCACCUAUCGGCAGUCUAGAGCAAUCGUCGGCUGCAGCGGUGAGCGCGGCCGCACAUAUCCGUGAGGAACAAGCAGGCGUGAAAUGGAGGAUGGCAAAGCUCGUCCACGGUAUUGGAGCUGUCGACCGGCAUGGUGAAUCCGCAAGCCCCGGGGUGGACAUAAAGUGGAUGCAUGCCGUUGAUCAUCCACUGAGGCAUCAAGAUGAGCAACAUCCUGAUGGACAAGCAGCUGCGAUCAAAGGUUUCAGACUUCGGGCUGUCGAAGCAUGGUCACAGAGGAGUCCCACGCCAAAACCAAUAUCUGUGGCAUGCUGGCUGAUUUCUGGUAUGCCAUGGAGAUAUAUUUUAGUGUUGCUCAUGCUGUUGAUUUGGUGUGGUAUGUCUUAUCUAUCCAUGUGCUGCUUUGAAUGA
rnacentral:rRNA from 1 species